ACUCUAGUCCGAUUUUCUGAGGAGACAUGACGGGUGUAGAAAAAGUGGGAGACAGGUCCUUCGGGGCUUGUCGUCAGUGAAAUACCACCACCGCCAUUGUUGCUUUGCUGAUCAAGUAAAACGGGAACUUGAUUCUGGUUCUAAGCUCAUGCUGACGUCGAGGUGGUGUAUGCUGCGGGGGUAGGUGUGUUGGUCACGUCAGGUUAGUCGUCGCCUCGGUCGGGGCGUUUAAAGGUCACCAUGGUGCGCGCCAAAAGUAGAGGUCAAUUAUAGAUCGUGUAUUCCCGGCUGAUCAACUCAGAUUCAGUCCCUCGACUUGUGGAAUUGAUCUGGACCAAUGU
rnacentral:ncRNA from 1 species